UACAGAGGUCUCAAGCGUUGUUCGGAUUCAUUGGGCGUAAAGGGCGUGUAGGCGGCGCCGUAAGUCGGGUGUGAAAUUUCGGAGCUUAACUCCGAAACUGCAUUCGAUACUGGCGUGCUUGAGGACUGGAGAGGAGACUGGAAUUCAUGGUGUAGCAGUGAAAUGCGUAGAGAUCAUGAGGAAGACCAGUGGCGAAGGCGGGUCUCUGGACAGUUCCUGACGCUGAGGCGCGAAAGCGUGGGGAGCAAACGGG
rnacentral:rRNA from 1 species